rnacentral:rRNA from 1 species
UACCCUUCUCUACGGAAUAGCCUCGGGAAACUGAGAGUAAUACCGUAUACGCCCUUCGGGGGAAAGAUUUAUCGGAGAAGGAUCAGCCCGCGUAAGAUUAGAUAGUUGGUGGGGUAAUGGCCUACCAAGUCUACGAUCUUUAGCUGGUUUUAGAGGAUGAUCAGCAACACUGGGACUGAGACACGGCCCAGACUCCUACGGGAGGCAGCAGUGGGGAAUCUUGGACAAUGGGCGCAAGCCUGAUCCAGCCAUGCCGCGUGUGUGAUGAAGGCCUUAGGGUCGUAAAGCACUUUCGCUAGAGAUGAUAAUGACAGUAUCUAGUAAAGAAGUCCCGGCUAACUCCGUGCCAGCAGCCGCGGUAAUACGGAGGGGACUAGCGUUGUUCGGAAUUACUGGGCGUAAAGCGUACGUAGGCGGAUCAGAAAGUAUGGGGUGAAAUCCCAGGGCUCAACCCUGGAACUGCCUCAUAAACUCCUGGUCUAGAGUUCGAGAGAGGUGAGUGGAAUUCCGAGUGUAGAGGUGAAAUUCGUAGAUAUUCGGAGGAACACCAGUGGCGAAGGCGGCUCACUGGCUCGAUACUGACGCUGAGGUACGAAAGUGUGGGGAGCAAACAGGAUUAGAUACCCUGGUAGUCCACACCGUAAACGAUGAAUGC